rnacentral:rRNA from 1 species
GUGGGGAAUAUUGGACAAUGGGGGGAACCCUGAUCCAGCCAUGCCGCGUGUGUGAAGAAGGCCUUUUGGUUGUAAAGCACUUUAAGCGAGGAGGAGGCUACCGAGAUUAAUACUCUUGGAUAGUGGACGUUACUCGCAGAAUAAGCACCGGCUAACUCUGUGCCAGCAGCCGCGGUAAUACAGAGGGUGCGAGCGUUAAUCGGAUUUACUGGGCGUAAAGCGUGCGUAGGCGGCUUUUUAAGUCGGAUGUGAAAUCCCCGAGCUUAACUUGGGAAUUGCAUUCGAUACUGGGAAGCUAGAGUAUGGGAGAGGAUGGUAGAAUUCCAGGUGUAGCGGUGAAAUGCGUAGAGAUCUGGAGGAAUACCGAUGGCGAAGACAGCCAUCUGGCCUAAUAUUGACGCUGAGGUACGAAAGCAUGGGGAGCAAACAGGAUUAGAAACCCGUGUAGUCC